CGGCCGGUUGCGCGCGCCAACCCGGGACUAGCGGCCGGGCGCCCGUCGCUACAGGUUUGGGACCAGGGGCCAACUACCGGGGGCCCCUAGGCUGAGCCUCUGCCAGAAUUUUCUUCCGAAGUUAGAUAGUUGUCUAACUUGGCGGCUCUGCCACAGGCACUGGAGAUGCAACAAUAAACAAAUGAGAAGUGGUUGGCAUGGAGAUGAUACUCCAGUGGAGGGAGAUUUGCCUGUGGAGAUGGCACUUUCCAAAGUUGGCCACAUAUUCUUCUAGAACGUUGCCUCUUCCUCAUCAAAAGGUGACAACUUUGACUGCUGUUAGCAUUUAUUUUUUCAUACCAAAUCCUCUUCAUUCCUGGUUAUGAAACUUGACCAAGAGAAGUGUCUGCUUCUGGACCUUUUUCCAUUUAGUCAAGUCAGCGCUGGAGGGUGCUUUUUGUCAGAAGAGUGUGUCUUCAGUCACCUAUAUUAAUUAACCCAGCCCCUCAUUUCAAGUAUGAAUGGGCAACAGCUAGCCACCAGACGUUUCUGCAAAAGCAACAGCAAAAUUAAGAAGGACCAAGAUGAACAAACAGGAACAAAACAAAACAAAACACACCAGAUAUAAUUCAGGGAACUGAAAGUGCUGACUGGCCUCCUCUAAAUCCAUGUGAAUAUUGAAACCCCAAGACGGGACUCAGACAUGCAUUCUUGGAAGGAAUAUACAGAAGUGAUGCUGUCUUCUCCUCACUGCAUCGCAUCAGGAGGCUCGUGACAUUGACCAGUUCUACUGCUGGUAAUAUUAAUCUCGAUCACUUGGUCAGUUCAGUGUCUGCCUGGUUUCUCCACAUUAAGUCAUUAUUUCCCUUUUUGUAAUUGAUAAGUAUUUUAUGGGAAGAUACUCUCAAACUAUGCCAAUAUCCUACAUUUCAUUAAAUCUCUAUUCAUUUGAUUUAUUAGACAUUGGU